rnacentral:rRNA from 1 species
CAAUAGCGUAUAUUAAAGUUGUUGCGGUAAAAAAGCUCGUAGUUGGAUUUCUACCGACGAUAGCCGGUCGGGUCUUCGACCUUGUAUCUGGUUUUGUCUUUGGUAUCCUCAUAGGGAACGUUUCUGCGCUUUAUUGCGUGGUGCGGUAUCUAUGACUUUUACUUUGAGGAAAUUAGAGUGUUCACGGCAGGCAAACGCCUUGAAUAUAUUAGCAUGGAAUAAUAACAUAGGAUCUUCGUCCUAUUUUGUUGGUUUCUAGGGCUAAGAUAAUGAUUAAUAGGGAUAAUUGGGGGCAUCUGUAUCAACGCGUCAGAGGUGGAAUUCUUGGAUUGCGUUGCGACAAACUACUGCGAAAGCAUUUGCCAAGGAUGUUUUCAUUGA